UUAUCGACGAGCGUCUUCUUUCGUUAGAACGUACGAACAUUUUGAAAAAUUUGUUCGUCAUAAGAGAAUACGUUAUUAUAAAAAAAAAAAAAAAAAAAAAAAAAAAAAAAAAAAAGAAAGAAAGAAGAAAUUGCAUGUGACGCCUAAUUGAUUGUUCAAUUUUUUUAUUUCUAAGUAUAUUUUCUUGCAGAUCAUGCAAACAUCGACAACAUGACAUCACUUGGUCAAAGAUCCUGAUCGAUCAACGAAACGAUCUAAAAACAAACGUUAACAAUAAAACAUAUAUUACUAAAAAGAAAAAAAAAAAAAAAGAAUAUAUAUACAUAUAUGAGAUAACAGUGAGUAUUAUCAAAAGAUCUUUUCGAGAAAAAAAAAAUGAAAAAAAGAAAAAUGAAUAAAAUAAUAAUAAAAAUAAUAAUAAUAAUAAUAAUAAUAAUAAUAAUAAUAAUAAUAAUAAUAAUAAUAAUCGGACAUUUAUGUCAAACAACGUGAUACCGAUAACAAAGUAAUAAGACCAAGUAGCAUCGACGAUGCACAAACGAUUGCCAAAGUAUCUCGAUUAUAAUUUGGACAUAAUUCUUGUUGAUGACAUCUCCUACGAAAGAAAGAAAACAAAAUGACGAAAUAAAGGAAAAAGAAAAUGAAUGAAUAAAGAAGGGGGAAAAAAACAAAAACAGAAAAAAAAAACAACAAAAAAGAGAGAAAAAUGAUAUUCGAUGAAAAUUCAUAUUUGAAUUUUCCCGGGUUUAUGAACUUACCAUCGUUCGAUAAUUCGAGGACCAAUAAUUUCAGCUGUAACACUUAAAGCCGUUACCAUGGUAAUCGAACUGCCUGCACCAAUAAGAAUGGCAAUUGCGUAUGUAACGAUUCCAUGACUCCCGCCAAAUUCUGUAAUGGCUGCCGAAAGAAUACCAAUGAGGGCUCCGCAAAGCUAUGAAGGAUGAUAAAUAAGAUACCAAUGGUACCGUAGCCAAUGCUUGUUUACCACCAACUGCUGUCUCCUCGAUAUAAAGUGGAUCUUCUUGGGGUUGAAAAACCAUCUAAAAGCCAACUAGAUUCGUCGGGGUUCGUUUUGGCUUGUGAUUGACUCCUAUUUUCCAAAAGAUUUUCCUUCAGGAGAAUGUGAAAGAGAGUGGUCGCAGUCAAACCGAAUGCCGUUACAACGAUCACAAUAUUCUGCGAAAGGAUUGGUCCAAUGUCUUGGAAAUAUGAUUUUUUAUAUAUAUAUAUAUAUAUAUAUAUAUAUAUAUAUAUAUAUAUAUAUAUAUGGAAACGAAAAUUAUUUAAUUGAUCUCAUUUCUUUUAAAUCUUUUUUUCUUUUUCUUUUCUUUUCUUUUCUUUUCUUAAUACUAACUCUGAAUUUGUAGUCGUCGUGUUGAUCGAGUAGCACCAUCGAUUCUCCAUUUGUUGGAAGGACAAUCCAUGUGACCACGAAAACAACUACCGCUGAGCUCACCUGCGCUGAAUAUCUAUAAUAUAAAAACGACUUAUGACUGUUAAUUCGGUACGACCGAUUAACGAGUUUGUUAAAGAUGGUAUCAUAGAUAAAUGCGAUAUCUGUACGGCUGCCCAGCCAAUCUGGAAGAUUAUGAUGCUCAGUAUAUAAAAGAACAUGAUGAUAGAAUUGGAGGUAUUAGCGAAACCUCCAAAUAUAAUUGGGAAACUUAGGGUGACCAAAACUGAGCCGAUCACGUGCCAUAUUUUUUUCUUGCAGUAACGAUCGACGAGAAAGCCAAAGAUUGGCGUUGUGAAAGCAUCCACGAUUUGACCUUCAAAAGUAUAACAUUCCAAUGUUUAAUAACAUUCCAAGAUUUAGAUUCGAUUUUAUUCAUAAUAUAAUAUAUUAUUUACCUAAUAACAAUAACGUCCCAGCCAUUAUUGGUUCCAAAAGAGAAACCUUUUGCAGAUAAAUUAAAGUAUAUGAGAACCACAUGGCUGCUGUCAGAUCGUUGAAAAUAUGUCCCAAGGCGUAAGCCAAUUUUGUCGACAUGGAUACUUUAUUAUUAUCCAUGCUGAGUAGUCCUGUCUCAAUUUUACAAUUUUUCUCCAUUUUUCUUUCUUUUUUUCUCCUUUUUUUUUCUUUUCUUUUCCUUUCUUUUCUUUUCUUCUCCGUCCACUUCUUUCUUCCUUCACUUCUUUCUUAUUUAUUAAUACUUUAUCGAUAUUAUUAAUUUAUUAAUCCAAAGAACAAUACGUCUUACGCAUUAUCUUCCUUCUUCUUAUUCAUACUAAAAUGAAACAUAAUUAAUUAUAAACGAAAGAAAAUAUCAUAUUAUGAAACACUAUAUAUGAGAUAACGAAGAAGAUUUAAUAUAAUCUAUGAUAAAAUUAUUAAUCUUAAUAAUACAAUGCACCUGUUAGAAUCUUUUAAAAUUUAAUUUAUCAACGUUAUUAAAUACAAAUUGAAUUAUUAAUUG